rnacentral:rRNA from 1 species
GACGAACGCUGGCGGCGUGCUUAACACAUGCAAGUCGAACGGAAAGGCCCUGCUUUUGUGGGGUGCUCGAGUGGCGAACGGGUGAGUAACACGUGAGUAACCUGCCCUUGACUUUGGGAUAACUUCAGGAAACUGGGGCUAAUACCGGAUAGGAGCUCCUGCUGCAUGGUGGGGGUUGGAAAGUUUCGGCGGUUGGGGAUGGACUCGCGGCUUAUCAGCUUGUUGGUGGGGUAGUGGCUUACCAAGGCUUUGACGGGUAGCCGGCCUGAGAGGGUGACCGGCCACCUUGGGACUGAGGUACGGCCCAGACUCCUACGGGAGGCAGCGGUGGGGAAUAUUGCACAGUGGGCGGAAGCCUGAUGCAGCAACGCCGCGUGCGGGAUGACGGCCUUCGGGUUGUAAACCGCUUUCGCCUGUGACGAAGCGUGAGUGACGGUAAUGGGUAAAGAAGCACCGGCUAACUACGUG